rfam:Natrialba asiatica DSM 12278 contig_33, whole genome shotgun sequence.
GUGGGAAGCGCACGGCCGCAAAUCUGACUGUGCCACUCGCUUGGGUGGCUUGGGAUUGCGGAAGUGC